rnacentral:tmRNA from 1 species
GGGGGCGAAAUAGGCUUCGACAGGGAGAAAGCGGGGGUAAAGUUGCCUGUAGAGUUUGUCGGGAACUCUUAAAAAAACUGACAAAAAAACAACUGCCACUACGGCAAACGCACUGGCUGCAUAAAUAAUGCAGUCACUCACCCAUAAAAGGGCCUCCUCACCUUUGUGGAGUGAGUCGCUAAGAGGAGAUUUUUCUGCAGGUUUGUCUUUUCCCUGCAGGGAAAUAAGCAAAAAGACUGCGGAAAGCAUGACUUGUCCGGAGAGGGAUGCUUUCCAAAGGAUAAACUUCGGACUACACAGGUAGAUACAUUAUUCACGCUCUUUCUGGACGCGGGGGCAGUACCCGCCGCCUCCACGA